rnacentral:rRNA from 1 species
UACAGAGGUCUCAAGCGUUGUUCGGAUUCAUUGGGCGUAAAGGGUGUGUAGGUGGCGCCGUAAGUCGGGUGUGAAAUUUCGGAGCUUAACUCCGAAACUGCAUUCGAUACUGCGGUGCUUGAGGACUGGAGAGGAGACUGGAAUUCAUGGUGUAGCAGUGAAAUGCGUAGAGAUCAUGAGGAAGACCAGUGGCGAAGGCGGCUAUCUGGACGGUUUCUGACACUAAGACUCGAAAAGCGUGGGGAGCAAACAGG